rnacentral:rRNA from 1 species
UGGAUCCAGACUUUGAUCAUGGCUCAGGAUGAACGCUAGCUACAGGCUUAACACAUGCAAGUCGAGGGGAAACGACAUUGGAAGCUUGCUUCCGGUGGGCGUCGACCGGCGCACGGGUGAGUAACGCGUAUCCAACCUGCCCACCACUUGGGAAUAACCUUGCGAAAGUAAGACUAAUGCCCAAUGACGUUGAAAGAAGACAUCUGAUUUCAACUAAAGAUUCAUCGGUGAUGGACGGGGAUGCGUCUGAUUAGCUUGUUGGCGGGGUAACGGCCCACCAAGGCGACGAUCAGUAGGGGUUCUGAGAGGAAGGUCCCCCACAUUGGAACUGAGACACGGUCCAAACUCCUACGGGAGGCAGCAGUGAGGAAUAUUGGUCAAUGGACGAGAGUCUGAACCAGCCAAGUAGCGUGCAGGAUGACGGCCCUAUGGGUUGUAAACUGCUUUCAUAAGGGAAUAAAGUGGGAGUCGUGACUCCUUUUGCAUGUACCUUAUGAAUAAGGACCGGCUAAUUCCGUGCCAGCAGCCGCGGUAAUACGGAAGGUCCGGGCGUUAUCCGGAUUUAUUGGGUUUAAAGGGAGCGUAGGCCGGAGAUUAAGCGUGUUGUGAAAUGUAGAUACUCAACAUCUGCACUGCAGCGCGAACUGGUUUCCUUGAGUACGCACAAAGUGGGCGGAAUUCGUGGUGUAGCGGUGAAAUGCUUAGAUAUCACGAAGAACUCCGAUUGCGAAGGCAGCUCACUGGAGCGCAACUGACGCUGAAGCUCGAAAGUGCGGGUAUCGAACAGGAUUAGAUACCCUGGUAGUCCGCACGGUAAACGAUGGAUGCCCGCUGUUGGUCUGAAUAGGUCAGCGGCCAAGCGAAAGCAUUAAGCAUCCCACCUGGGGAGUACGCCGGCAACGGUGCAACUCAAAUGAAUUGACGGA